AUGAAAACGGGGAUUUUCAGUAAAUCGGUUCCAGUACAUCUCUGCUGCUCUUGUGGGCGCCCUCUUUUGAGCACCGGAGGAAUGAGCACCGUUCUUCAUUCUUUUGGUUUUGUAAAGUUGUAGAGCUGCGUUCCUACCUCACUGGCUUUGAGCACAACCCAGGAAGAAGUUUGAAACCAAGAAAAUGGUGAUUGGGAAGACCAGGAUGCGCAAUGGCAAAGUGAGAUCCUGGUUAUCUCUUUUUCUUCUAGCAUUUGUUUCCCUAAGUGGAAUACGAGAUUUACUGCAUUUUUUUGGUGAAUGAUAUGAAAUAGAAGACAGAUGUUCAUGACUGGAGGGCUUAUUGAGAAUUAUGUUAAGCUUUGAGGGUAAGCGGGGUACGUGUCCUGAAUUUGUAGAAUCUUUUGACACAAAGCAACAGAGCCACAGUCAAGACUCAAGUCAAAAGAAAUUUAGACCCCAUCUGGGCAAACAGGCCUCUAAGCAACAAUCUAAGAUUUCCACCUAUUGUUCUGGCAUUCCUUGUAUAAAUGAUUAUGACUGCAGAGAUCUUAGGAAGUGCUGUGGUACCUUUAGAUGUGGCCUGAGGUGCAUACAUCCUCUUAUGAUUGACCCUGUAUUGUUCAAUUCACCUCCACAAUCCAAGG
rnacentral:lncRNA from 1 species